AUGACGCUAAAGACUGGAGUAAUGAUGGUGAAAAUCAGCUUUGAUCAUAGCAAUCAACUGACCCUUCGCAAAAACCCACCCUCCUUAAAUACUGUUGCUAUGUCCGACAAGCCAUGCUGCUCUCACAGUACACACCUUGUUCUCACACAGCGAAAAAUACAUCAUGGACCAAAGAGGAAACUGACAACACACAGACAGACAAGACAGAGAAGGUUACUUCUGCUGUUUGGACUCUCAUUCUGAUGGCACCCAUUCACUGCAGAGCAUCCACUGGGAGGAACUUGUCAGCAAAUCUACUUCACAGCACAUAAGUGAAAACAGUUGACAGUUACAGACGGUUGUGUUGGAUCAGGGUCAGAUCUGAAUUCUGAAGGUAGGUAGAUCUCCAGGAACAGGAUUAUACAGCCCUGUUAUAUUGGUAAUGUAUGAUGGAUUUUGAACUGUACUGUUCUUAUGUCAGGUUUUCUGGGAUGACAGUUGAAGAGAUCAGCACAUCAGAUGUUGGUCUGGACAGCUGUACCUACAGUACACCACACUGACCUCUCUGCUUUUGCAUGGAUGUGUGACUACUACCAUGUUCUGUGAAGGUAUUAUUAUAGCAAACCUGAGCACCUGUGACAGUGGAAUAGUUGCAAUGAAUAGUCACACAUAUUGGUAAAUUUGAAGUCACAGAUACAUUUUUUUAGUACUAGCAAUAUUUUUAUUUUUAAUUUUUUACUAAUUCUCUCUAGCAAACACAACACAACAGUUACACCAUUUCAAAUUCUGAGGAGCACAAAUCCUAUUCUACAAAUAAGAGAACAACAGUAUACAAGUGCUUAGUUUAGCCCCUUUCACACUGAGAUUACGUAUAAUACACGGGUAAUGUAUCCUGGCAGUUGUUCCCGGAUCGUUAGAUUUUGGUUCAUUCACACUGCCAGUGAUUUUCCGGAAUCUGUGUGUGCGUUCACACACAACCCAUAAAGAUCCCGUAAAGACACAUGACAUUACGAUGUGAGGUGUUUUGUUUCACUUAAGCUGGCGAACAAUCUCAGCUUCAGAAUGGAUAGUGAGGAACUAACUGAUCUCUGCUUCAUUACAGUUUGCAGAUAUUUUUUCGUCACAAACAUUGAUCUGCCUUCAAAACACCCGGCAAUUUUUUGGGACCACCGUGCAGUGUGAAAGGGGCUUUAGUCUAGCACAGUACACAUAAGUUAUUCAUUUAUUAUUAUUAUUAUUAUUUUACAAAUUAGAACAAACUGAACAGAAUAGAAUAAAACUGAAUAGAAAAGGUAAGUGCUAGUAUUA
ensembl:lncRNA